UAAUACGUAGGUUGCAAGCGUUGUCCGGAUUUACUGGGUGUAAAGGGCGUGUAGGCGGAGAUGCAAGUUGGGAGUGAAAUCCCGGGGCUCAACCCCGGAACUGCUUUCAAAACUGUAUCCCUUGAGUGUCGGAGAGGCAAGCGGAAUUCCUAGUGUAGCGGUGAAAUGCGUAGAUAUUAGGAGGAACACCAGUGGCGAAGGCGGCUUGCUGGACGAUAACUGACGCUGAGGCGCGAAAGCGUGGGGAGCAAACAGGAUUAGAUACCCUGGUAGUCCACGCUGUAAACGAUGAAUACUAGGUGUGGGAGGACUGACCCCUUCCGUGCCGCAGUUAACACAAUAAGUAUUCCACCUGGGGAGUACGACCGCAAGGUUGAA
rnacentral:rRNA from 1 species